rnacentral:rRNA from 1 species
UACGUAGGGUGCGAGCGUUGUCCGGAAUUAUUGGGCGUAAAGAGCUCGUAGGCGGUGUGUCACGUCGGCCGUGAAAACCUGCAGCUUAACUGUGGGCGUGCGGUCGAUACGGGCAUCACUGGAGUUCGGCAGGGGAGACUGGAAUUCCUGGUGUAGCGGUGAAAUGCGCAGAUAUCAGGAGGAACACCAGUGGCGAAGGCGGCCCUCUGGGUCGGACCCUGACGCUGAGGCGCGAAAGCGUGGGGAGCGAACGGG